UACAGAGGGUGCGAGCGUUAAUCGGAAUUACUGGGCGUAAAGGGUGCGUAGGCGGACAGAGAAGUUAGAUGUGAAAUCCCCGGGCUUAACCUGGGAAGGUCAUUUAAUACUUUUUGUCUGGAGUAUAGUAGAGGGGAGUGGAAUUUCCGGUGUAGCGGUGAAAUGCGUAGAUAUCGGAAGGAACACCAGUGGCGAAGGCGACUCUCUGGGCUAUUACUGACGCUGAGGCACGAAAGCGUGGGGAGCAAACAGG
rnacentral:rRNA from 1 species